UACGGAGGAGGCAAGCGUUAUCCGGAAUUAUUGGGCGUAAAGCGUCCGCAGGUGGCUAUUCAAGUCUGCGGUCAAAGACUGGGGCUUAACCCUGGAAAGGCCGUGGAAACUGAAGAGCUAGAGUGCAGUAAGGGUAGAGGGAAUUCCCGGUGUAGCGGUGAAAUGCGUAGAGCUCGGGAAGAACAUCGGUGGCGAAAGCGCUCUGCUGGACUGCAACUGACACUCAGGGACGAAAGCUAGGGGAGCGAAUGGG
rnacentral:rRNA from 1 species